rnacentral:rRNA from 1 species
AGAGUUUGAUCCUGGCUCAGAUUGAACGCUGGCGGCAGGCCUAACACAUGCAAGUCGAACGGUAACAGGAAGCAGCUUGCUGCUUUGCUGACGAGUGGCGGACGGGUGAGUAAUGUCUGGGAAACUGCCUGAUGGAGGGGGAUAACUACUGGAAACGGUAGCUAAUACCGCAUAACGUCGCAAGACCAAAGUGGGGGACCUUCGGGCCUCAUGCCAUCAGAUGUGCCCAGAUGGGAUUAGCUAGUAGGUGGGGUAACGGCUCACCUAGGCGACGAUCCCUAGCUGGUCUGAGAGGAUGACCAGCCACACUGGAACUGAGACACGGUCCAGACUCCUACGGGAGGCAGCAGUGGGGAAUAUUGCACAAUGGGCGCAAGCCUGAUGCAGCCAUGCCGCGUGUAUGAAGAAGGCCUUCGGGUUGUAAAGUACUUUCAGCGAGGAGGAAGGGGUUAAGGUUAAUAACCUUGGUCAUGACGUACUCGCAGAAAAGACCGCCCCGCCGG